rnacentral:rRNA from 1 species
AGAGUUUGAUCAUGGCUCAGAAUGAACGUUGGCGGCGUGGAUUAGGCAUGCAAGUCGUACGCACAGCUUCGGCUGUGAGUGGCGCAAGGGUGAGUAAUGCGAAGGUAACCAACCCUGGAGUUGGGCAUAACCGCGGGAAACUGCGGGUAAUUCCCAGCGAUGUCUCGAGAUGGCAUCAUCUUGCGACCAAAGGUGUGAUUCCGCUCUAGGACGGGCCUUCGUGGUAUUAGGUAGUUGGUGAGGUAACGGCUCACCAAGCCGACGAUGCCUACCGGGUGUGAGAGCAUGACCCGGCACACUGGAACUGAGACACUGUCCAGACACCUACGGGUGGCUGCAGUCGAGAAUCUUCGGCAAUGGGCGAGAGCCUGACCGAGCGACGCCGCGUGAGGGAAGAAGGCCUUCGGGUUGUAAACCUCUUUCGUAGAGGAGGAAGGGGCCGUGCAGAGCGGUCUUUGACCUAUUCUAGGAAGAAGCUUGGGCUAAGUUCGUG